AGCAAAGAGUGGAGCUUGUUUGUGCUGCAAAACCCGGCUACACCUGAAACUACAGCACAACAGGAGCUUCCGAAAGUCAAGGUGUGGGUGGCACUGAGGACAAAACAAUAAAAUUCUGUUUAAGAGAUGGGGCUUGCAUUAUAGCAAUCGUAUGACAUGCCUGAAUGUGAGGCUCAGUUUCGUGGGAACAGUGGGAUCUGGCAUCCGUUUGGUUGGGAUUGCAGAGGCAGCGUAAGUCUGACUCAACAGCCGUGGUAACACCCUCCUGACCACUACAGAAACAGUGGCUCUCCUAGUGACCCAGGGCUGCCACACGCUCACAUCAGGGCGAAAAGCUGACUUCACACCCAAUGAAUGAUGACUGACAUAUUUAUAUGACAAUUCUUCCGGUUAUUACUGUAUGUUUCCAUCUUCAAUAACAGCUUCCGGCCCUCAGAGUUCUUUAAAAGAAAAGUGUGAUGGACACCUCUAAUACACCUCUUCUGAUGGCCUCCAAAUGCAAGUAAACUCUGACCUCUGGAUAUCUCCCCCUGACUGGUUGUUACAAACAUUGUAAACCUAUCACACACUCCCAUAUAUUUUCUAAUUUGUGAACACAGAGAGGAAUGCUGUGGGAACUACAGGCCUAACUCAGGGAUGGGAGAACAGAACAGAGCCCAGAUGUGUUAGGGCUCUCUAAGCCUCUAGGCAGAAAUGAUGAGACUAAUUGUGCAGAAUUAGACCUCCGGCCAUCAGGACAAACACUGAAAGGGAAAGGGAUUUUUAAACCCAAUACACAGCUUUGCAGGUGCUAACUUGGGAAGAACAAGAACGGCUCAAGAGGAGAGGGCCAACCUGGCACUGUGUGCAGCCCCACUGUGGGGAGAGGUUUGCUCACUUAUAAGAAUUCCUGCAGUUCCAAUAAUUGAUUCCAAGAAUGCCAGCGUGAGGAAAAGUAAACUAAGGUGAUAGACAACUAUGGAGCGGAAACUACAAAGUGGAAGUGCUCAAAGUUUUGUGAGCUUCAGAAUCAGUUUCUUUUUUCUUUCUUUCUUGUUUUUUUUUUUUUGACAGGCAGAGUUAGAAAGUGAAAGAGAAAGAAAGGUCUUCCUUCCGUUGGUUCACCCCACCAAAUGGCCGCUGCGGCCGGCGCACAGCGCUGAUCCGAUGGCAGGAGCCAGGUGCUGCUCCUGGUAUCCCAUGGGGUGCAGGGCCCAAGCACUUGGGCCAUCCUCCACUGCACUCCCGAGCCACAGCAGAGAGCUGGACUGGAAGAGGAGCAACCAGGACAGAAGUCGGCACCCCAACCAGGACUAGAACCCUGGGUGCCGGCGCCGCAGGGGAAGAUCAGCCUAGUGAGCCGCGGCGUCGGCCCCAGAAUCAGUUUCUAAUUUAACAGAACUGGGAUGGAGGCCCAAGGAAGCUGAUUCCUGACAUGUCCCAAGUGGUGCGGAUGCUGCUGCUCUGAGCACUACACUUUAAAAAUACAUGUACUGCAUAAAUGGUCAUGGUUCUUCAAGAAGGAGAGAUGUCCUCAUCAAACUAGAAGUCCUACUGUGUGGUUUGGUAGGAAGUCAUUAAAAAGACCAGUGCAAAAACAGAAAGAACAAAGUAUGGGUGUAGUAGUAGGUGACAAUUACUAGAAGCAACCAAAGCAGAAUACUAUUGGGAGCAGGAAAGAAAGCCACCGAAAGAAGCCAUUUCUCCCUUCUUUGGUGUGAAAAGCACUGCAUUACCCUUCCUCGACUGUUUCUACUAGGCAUCGUUGCGGUUAAUCUAAAACGUUUCUGGGGCACAUAUUAUAUUCUAGUGACUACACCAUGCAAUGCAAACUCAGAGAACAAGGGGCCGUCUCUUCCCCUAUGGAAAUCAGUUAUGAAAGUUGUUAAUUCUAUAAUGGCAGCCACAGGGCUUUGAGCAUCUUUUUUUAAAUUCAGACUUCAUCACAGUACUGUGUACACAGUUAACACAAAAUGAUGCGUGUUAAGUAGAUGCUACCUUCCUUAGCACACCCGUGUCAGCAACACAUUAUGCUGAUUCCUGAAUUUAUUAAAGCCCGGCAAUGAGCCAACACUCUGCAAAGCAUCCUCUUUUAAUUCUCAUAGCCACCCUGUCAGGGAAGUAAUUUUAUCAUUCUGGUUACACAGAGAGAAACCUGAGCUUUGAAAGAUUAAGCAGCUUGCCUCAGAUCACAGAGCUAAAGUGUCAAGGCUGGAAUUUGAGCCCUGAUCUGUGUGACUUCAAAGCCCUUUCUAUAUCAACUGCAGUAUCUUCACAAGUGAUGAAGAACAUUUUUUAAGCAUGUGUUCCUAUGAUAUUCACUCUAGUAACAUACUUAAGAAAUAAAUACUUUCACAGGGGUCACAUUUUUUACCCAUUUACCAGAGUACAAAAUCUCAGACAUAUUUGAAUAUGCAAGCCCAUUGUGGUGCUCUAAGUAAUAUAAUAAGUCACAUUCAACAUGUUUCAGGCAAGUGUCAAAUGCUGUAUCUUUUUUCAUUUUCAGAAAGAAACCACGUAUUACGUAUUUCCACUUUACAAAUAGAGGAGUUAGAAUCAGAAAAAUUAACGUGUUUUUGGCAUUAGGGAGCUAUUAAGUGAAUACUUGUGUCUUUUCUCCCAAAUUCAGAAGCCUAAUGCACCACCACUAUUCCAUAGAGCCCAUCUUCAAUUCUCGCCCACUUCCAGACGAACUGCCUUCAAAACGCUCAUCAGAUGUUUCCUUCUUUACCUCUGUAUUUGAAGAAACUCGCUAAGCUCUAAACCAACCGUACUCACUGAUCCAAGGGUGCAGGUUGCCACUCAGAGGACAUAUUGGAACUAGGAUUACCAAGAGCAAACUGUAAUAAUUUAAAAUGCUAGGAAAAGAUUUGGAAUGAUUUUACCACAAAGUUGCUACAAAUAUUUCAGGAGCUAUUUAUGUAUGUGCACCCUGAUGUAAACAUUAUGCAAUAUACACAUGUAUCAAACUAUCACAUAGUACCUGAAAUAAAUGUAUAAUUUUAAGUGUUAAUUAAAGA